UCCCGUGUAGCUCAGUUGGUAGAGCGUGGUGUUUGCAACGCCAGGGUUGUGGGUUCGAUUCCCACGGGGGGGG
rnacentral:tRNA from 1 species